rnacentral:rRNA from 1 species
AGGACGAACGCUGGCGGCGUGCUUAACACAUGCAAGUCGAGCGGUGAUCCUCCUUCGGGAGGUGAGCAGCGGCGAACGGGUGAGUAACACGUGGGCAACCUGCCCCUCACACUGGGAUAACCUCGGGAAACCGGGGCUAAUACCGGAUAUGACCUCGAGCGGCAUCUCUUGAGGUGGAAAGCUCCGACGGUGAGGGAUGGGCCCGCGGCCUAUCAGCUUGUUGGUGGGGUAAUGGCCUACCAAGGCGACGACGGGUAGCCGGCCUGAGAGGGCGACCGGCCACACUGGGACUGAGACACGGCCCAGACUCCUACGGGAGGCAGCAGUGGGGAAUAUUGCGCAAUGGGCGAAAGCCUGACGCAGCGACGCCGCGUGAGGGAUGAAGGCCUUCGGGUUGUAAACCUCUUUCAGCAGGGACGAAGCGAAAGUGACGGUACCUGCAGAAGAAGCACGGCUAACUACGCGCCAGCAGCCGCGGUAA